ACCUACGGGGGGCAGCAGUAGGGAAUUUUCGUCAAUGGGCGCAAGCCUGAACGAGCAAUGCCGCGUGAACGAGGAAGGUCUUCUGAUCGUAAAGUUCUGUUGGAGGGGAAAAAGAGCGGAGAGAGGAAAUGCUUUCUGAUUGAUAUUACCCUUCGAGGAAGUCACGGCUAACUACGUGCCAGCAGCCGCGGUAAUACGUAGGUGGCGAGCGUUAUCCGGAAUGAUUGGGCGUAAAGGGUGCGUAGGCGGCCUGCUAAGUCUGGAGUGAAAGGUACCGGCUCAACCGGUACAGGCUCUGGAAACUG
rnacentral:rRNA from 1 species